rnacentral:rRNA from 1 species
GAUGAACGCUGGCGGCGUGCCUAAUACAUGCAAGUCGAACGAUCAGACGCGGAGCUUGCUGAUCGGACGUUUGCCGCGGGCGGGAGAGAAACACAAGGAUCCCCUCCAUAUAGGACUGGGAUAUCUUCGGGAACCCGGAGCUAAUACGGGCUAAUAUAUUGAACCGCAUGGUUCAAUAGUGAAAGACAGUUUUGCUGGCGCUUGUAGAUGGAUCUGAGCCGCAUGUGGUAGUUGGUAAGGUAAAGGCUUACCAAGGCAACGAUGCGUAGCCGAACUGAGAGGAUGAUCGGCCACACUGGAACUGAGACACGGCCCAGACUCCUACGGGAGGCAGCAGUAGGGAAUCUUACGCAAUGGGAGAAAGCUUGACCGAGCAACGCCGCGUGAGGGAAGAAGGUCUUCGGAUCGUAAAAUUCUGUUAUUAGGUAAGAAAAAAUGUGUAAGUAACGAUGCACGUAAUGACGGUACCUAAUCAGAAAGCCACGGCUAACUACGUG